GAAAUGCGAUAAGUAGUGUGAAUUGCAGAAUUCAGUGAAUCAUCGAAUCUUUGAACGCACAUUGCGCCCCUUGGUAUUCCAUGGGGCAUGCCUGUUCGAGCGUCAUUUGUACCCUCAAGCUCUGCUUGGUGUUGGGUGUUUGUCCCGUCUCCGCGCGUGGACUCGCCCCAAAGUGAUUGGCAGCCGGCGUACUGGUCCCGGAGCGCAGCACAUGUCGCGCAAACGAGUGCCUAGGUACGGCGGCGUCCAUAAGCCCCUCUCUCACGCUCUUGACCUCGGAUCAGGUAGGGAUACCCGCUGAACUUAAGC
rnacentral:misc_RNA from 1 species